AAUUGAAAAAAGUAUGGGGAAAUUUGAAAAUACGCUCCUGAAAUUCAUGGCGGAAUACUGAAGAAUCCGGAUUUUCGGUUGUCGGAGUUUUGAAUGUCAACCUGUGUAUAUUUUUUUAUAUGGUUUGUGUGUGUGCAUAUUAGAGAGUUUGCGUUAAACCCACUUUCGAUACAGUAUACUGUCCGAUACAAUACAGCAGGUGUGGCCAAACUUUUAUCCCUUAGGGGCUACUUAUUCUGUAAAAUAUCGUCUGCGGGCGACUAUGAAUAUAGGCAAACAAUUUUAGGAUUUUUCAAAUUUUUCAUAGAUAUUUUAAUAAAUAAUUAACAAGAAUUUCAGUUAAAAAAAUAUUAUAGCAAAUAAAGAAAGCAAAUAAUUAUAUAUUUUUUAUUUUAUGAAGCACAAAAAUAUUUAUUAAAUGAAAAAAAAUUACAAUGUAAAGAA
rnacentral:lncRNA from 1 species